rnacentral:tRNA from 1 species
AGGUCAAUGGCUCAAUUGGCAGAGCAUCGGUCUCCAAAACCGAGGGUUGGGGGUUCGAAUCCCUCUUGACCUGCCA